rnacentral:rRNA from 1 species
GCGGCGUGCUUCAUACAUGCAAGUCGAACGAGAGGCAGGAGCUUGCUCCUGUGGAAAGUGGCGGACGGGUGAGUAACACGUAGGAAAUCUGCCUUUGGGUGGGGGACAACAGUUGGAAACGACUGCUAAUACCCCAUAUGAGCUUGGUUGCAAUACCAAUCUUGAAAACUCCGGUGCCUAAAGAUGAGCCUGCGUCUGAUUAGCUUGUUGGCGGGGUAAUGGCCCACCAAGGCGACGAUCAGUAGCUGGCUUGAGAGGGUGAUCAGCCACAACGGGACUGAGACACGGCCCAUACUCCUACGGGAGGCAGCAGUAGGGAAUUUUGAGCAAUGGGGGAAACCUUGACGCGGCAACGCCGCGUGAAUGACGAAGCCCUUCGGGGUGUAAAGUUCUGUCAGUAGGGAAGAAUUUUGACUGUACCUACAAAGGAAGCACCGGCUAACUCCGUGCCAGCCGCCGCAGUAA